GAUGAACGCUGGCGGCGUGCCUAACACAUGCAAGUCGAGCGAACAGACGAGGAGCUUGCUCCUCUGACGUUAGCGGCGGACGGGUGAGUAACACGUGGAUAACCUACCUAUAAGACUGGGAUAACUUCGGGAAACCGGAGCUAAUACCGGAUAAUAUAUUGAACCGCAUGGUUCAAUAGUGAAAGACGGUUUUGCUGUCACUUAUAGAUGGAUCCGCGCCGCAUUAGCUAGUUGGUAAGGUAACGGCUUACCAAGGCAACGAUGCGUAGCCGACCUGAGAGGGUGAUCGGCCACACUGGAACUGAGACACGGUCCAGACUCCUACGGGAGGCAGCAGUAGGGAAUCUUCCGCAAUGGGCGAAAGCUUGACGGAGCAACGCCGCGUGAGUGAUGAAGGUCUUCGGAUCGUAAAACUCUGUUAUUAGGGAAGAACAAAUGUGUAAGUAACUAUGCACGUCUUGACGGUACCUAAUCAGAAAGCCACGGUUAACUACGUG
rnacentral:rRNA from 1 species